rnacentral:misc_RNA from 1 species
AAAUGUUACUCUCUUUCGAUUCCCAAGUCGAGUCUCCUAGUUCAACAUAUCAUGAUUCCUUGAGGUCGUUCAAGAAAAAUGGGAUGAUCGAAUUAGAGGAACGUAACAAAGAACAUGAUUUAAUCAAGGCAGGUUUUCUUAGUGGAAUGGGGCAAUUAGGAAAGGAAGUUGAAGUUGUGGCUAUACAUAAGAAUUCAUGUUCAACUAUAUUAGGGCAAGCGAGGUUAGAAAGUUUUCGUAUUUAUUCCGAAGCAAUGCGGAAAAAAUGUAGUGGAGAUGCUAAUAUUAAAUAUGCUUGGUUUGGUUCUUCCAAAGAUGAAAUUUGUAACAUAAUUUCACAUGGAUUUUCUACAAUUACUGAACCAAAA